GAUGAAGAACGUAGCGAAAUGCGAUAAGUAAUGUGAAUUGCAGAAUUCAGUGAAUCAUCGAAUCUUUGAACGCAUCUUGCGCUCCUUGGUAUUCUGAGGAGCAUGCCUGUUUGAGUGUCAUUAAAUUCUCAACUACACUGACUUUGAAUUGGUGUGGCUUGGAUUUGGGGGGAAAAUUGUUGUGGGCUUUUUGUACAGUCUGCUCCCCUGAAAUUGAUUAGCGGUACCUUUGUGGAACUGUCUACAGGUGUGAUAAUUAUCUACAUCUUAGACAUCUGCUGGAAUGCUGCUUUCUAAACCUUACUUGUAUUGACAAUCUUGACCUCAAAUCAGGUAGGACUACCCGCUGAACUUAAGCAUAUCAAUAAGCGGAGGA
rnacentral:misc_RNA from 1 species